rnacentral:rRNA from 1 species
CGGCAAGAGCUCAAAUUUGAAAUCUGGCCUCCGUCCGGGGGUCCGAGUUGUAAUUUGCAGAGGAUGCUUCGGGCGCGGCCGCGGCCUAAGUCCCCUGGAACGGGGCCGUCGCAGAGGGUGAGAAUCCCGUCUUCGGCCGCCGUCACCGCGCCCGUGUGAAGCUCCCUCGAC